CACGUAGGGGGCGAGCGUUGUCCGGAUUUAUUGGGCGUAAAGAGCUCGUAGGCGGCUAAGUAAGUCGGGUGUGAAAACUCCAGGCUCAACCUGGAGACGCCACCUGAUACUGCUUUGGCUAGAGUCCGGUAGGGGAGCAUGGAAUUCCUGGUGUAGCGGUGAAAUGCGCAGAUAUCAGGAAGAACACCCGUGGCUAAGGCGGCUCUCUAGUACGGUACUGACGCUGAGACGCGAAAGCGUGGGGAGCGAACAGG
rnacentral:rRNA from 1 species